CCCCCGAGCCAUGAAUGAGGAGCCCGAGCAGAAGUACCGUCCAGGCCAUGGUGGGAACGCUCCUGGGACGCGGC